rnacentral:lncRNA from 1 species
AAUGAAUCAGUAUCAAUUUCUAAAAUUCUAAAAAUAAAAAAUUAAUACAUUUUCAAACAAUAACACGUUCAAAUUCCAGAUUGUAAAUCAUUCAUAAACAAUACAAAUUUCUAAGCAAUAAGCCAAUAACACAUCCACUAAUUUAAAUCCAUAAAUUUCAAUGUUUCAAAUAAAAAAUUAAAUCACUUCAACGAGCUUGUGAGAUGUGACGGUGGCGAACUGCGAACCCGAGGCUGCGACGGACAACGGUGGCGAAUCGGAUUGUUGUUUGGAGGUGCAAGAACCCGAGGUUGCGACGGUCGUGAACGAACCCGAGAGUACGAGUUGCGACGGAAGACGGUAGCGAGCAGCGAGCCCAAGCUUCUAAGUUCUGACGGUGGCGAAUCGCGAAGGCUGUUGGCUGCAAGAAGCUAAGAACCGAAGCUUGACUGCUUGACUGCGAAUCGCGAAGGCUGCUGGCAGCAAGAAGCUAAGAACCGAAAGCUGCAAGUUGCGAAUUGCGAUUAGGGUUUGUUCUUUUAGUUUGUAUUUAUAUUAAUCAAUAAAAUUAAUUAAAAAAUAAUAUUAAAAUAAAAUAUCCGGGUCCGAAUUGACUUAAACCAGGACCCGUACCCGAAUUCAUCCGGGUUAUUAAAAUCCAUUCCGAAUCCAAAUUUUUUUACUCUCCGGUACGGGUUCAACCCGGCCCGAAUUAUCCGAAUUCGUCCGGGUCCGAGUUAUUUUGCCAUUGCUAUUCCAUGUUCAACGAAUGUUAAUUAUUAUAAUAUGUUUGGGGGUGUAUUACCACGUGACCAACUAUGUUCAAACGGAAAAGCAAUCUUCGAUUCCUAUGCAGAGGCCUCAGGACAGAUUUUCAAUUAUGAGAAAUCUUCAAUAUUUUGCAGUGGAAAGCUCUCAGCGGAGCAAAUAUCAGCCAUGAAGAACAUUUUUCAAUUAAAGAUGGUGUCUAAAUAUGAAAAGUACUUGGGACUACCUUCUAUGAUUGGAAGAAAAAAGACGAGUUUCUUUAACGAGGUGAAGCCAAAAGUGCUGAGCAAGAUCUUAAAUUGGCAGCAUAAGUUUUUCUCAAGCGGAGGCAAAGAGGUGCUGAUAAAGGCUGUAGCCCAGGGCGUUCCGGCUUAUGCAAUGAGCGUUUUCAAAAUCCCAUCGACAUUAUGUGAGGACAUUCAGAAAGCAAUGGCAAAAUUCUGGUGGGGAAAUAAAAAAGAAAAGAAUGGGAUUCAUUGGGCAAGGUGGGAGAGAAUGAGUCAUGCCAAGCAUAGAGGAGGAUUGGGCUUUAGAGACAUCUCCAGCUUUAAUCAAGCAUUGGUAGCAAAACAAAGUUGGAGAAUUAUCCAAGAUUCGGAAUCAUUAAUGGCAAGAGUUCUCAAAGCAAGAUACUUCAAACAUGAGGGCUUUCUAAAUGCCAAAAUAGGUACCAAUCCAUCCUUUAUAUGGAGAAGUAUCCUAUGGGGCAGAAAAAUAAUCUUAAAAGGCACAAGAUGGAGAAUUGGUUCUGGGGAAGAAGUUCAAGUUUAUAACAGCAAUUGGCUGCCAAGACCAACAACCUUCAGACCAAUAUCACCAAGAACACUUGCUGCAGAUACUAAAGUGGCAGACUUGAUAGACCCCGAAAGAGAAUGGAAGAUGGACUUAAUUCGACAGCAUUUUGUUCAGGACGAUGCAGAUAUCAUUCAAAGGAUUCCCCUCCCAAGAAGCUCAGCAAGGGACGAGCUUUGUUGGCACUAUGAUAAGCUUGGGAGAUACUCAGUCAAAAGUGGCUACCAGAUAGCCUUAAAAGAAAAAUUUCAGAAUGUCCCAAGUAGCUCAAAACCGAAGCCAAGCCAAUGGAAUGCCAUAUGGAAGCUUGAUCUCCCUGACAAGUUGAAGAUUUUUAUGUGGAGGGCUGCAAAAAACUUACUUCCAACAGCAGAAAAUCUAUGGAAAAGGAAAGUGAUACCAAAUCCAACAUGUCAAAGAUGCAAUCAGGGAGUGGAAACUAGUUUUCAUGCUCUGGUAGAGUGUAAAGCUGCAAAAAAGAUUAGGCAACAUUCAUCGUUAGCAGCAGUGGAGAGGCCAUCCUCUCAUAGGGGGAGUAUGUUGGAUGUUUUUCUAGAUACAUCAAGGCUGCUGAGCAAAAAAGAGGCUGAGCUUCAGAUUGCUUAUUGGUGGGUUACAUGGUAUGCACGAAACCACUUCCUCUUCAAGAGGAAGAAGCUGGAUCCUUUAAUCUCAACUGCAAAAGCGGAAGCAGUGGUAGAAGCUUUCCGAAGAUACAAAAAGCCAGAGCACCAACAAAGGGAGAGCACAAAGGCAGAGGGAGCAAAGCAAUGGAAACCCCCACCCAAAAACUGGUACAAAGUAAAUGUGGAUGCUGCAAUUGACAAUCAAAGACAAAGAGUGGGAUUGGCAGUGGUUGUAAGGAAUGAUAAUGGAGACAUUGUGGCAGCAGCCAUCAAGCUUUCAACUUUCAAUGGAGAAGUAUCUUUUGCAGAAGCUGAAGCAAUUGAAUGGGGAAUGCAAGUGGCAAGAAGUGCAGGCAUAACCUCUGUUAUUUUUGAAUCUGAUUGUCAAGUGGCUGUUGACUUGGCAAACAACAGAAAGGGUAGCAAAACUGAGAUCUUUUAGGUGAUUUCGGAUAUCAAAAGCAGGAAAAAAGACUUCCAGGAAGUUAAAUUUCAACACAUCCCUAGGUCUGGUAAUGUUAAUGCCCAUACCUUGGCUAAGAUAGCCUUAAAAGGUGCAGAGUCUGUUGUAUGGCUGGGAAAUAUCCCAGCACAAAUUCUGUGUUUAUUUUCUUCUUAUUAAUGAAGUUUUUUCCCUUCUAAAAAAAAAAAACUAUGUUCAAACGAGAAUUUAUCCUUUUCGUAGGUGAGGAGCAAUGUGUCGUCUAGGAAUAGGAGUCUUCUGCUAGUCGACGAGGAGACCUUUUGCUGGGGCCAUGGUAUGAGCAGGUUCUCUGUUAAUCACCAAGGACAUUUUCUGUUGGGGCCAAGGUUGGCAGGCCCAGUCUACGGCAGUUGAUAGAACGUGUGCUACUCUCUGAGAAUCCAAAC